AAUAAUUUGGCCUAGCAUUCGA
rnacentral:miRNA from 2 species